rnacentral:ncRNA from 1 species
CAAAGGCCUGGUCCUGACUUUACUAUCGACUCUAGCUGGACUUACACAUGCAAGUAUCCGCACCCCUGUGAGAAUGCCCUACAGUUCCCCCUCCGGGAACAAGGAGCUGGUAUCAGGCACAGACCUCUGGCCCACGACACCUUGCUUAGCCACACCCCCAAGGGAACUCAGCAGUGAUAAACAUUAAGCUAUAAGUGAAAACUUGACUUAGUUAAAGCUAAGAGGGCCGGUAAAACUCGUGCCAGCCACCGCGGUUAUACGAGAGGCCCAAGUUGAUAGACAUCGGCGUAAAGAGUGGUUAAGAGCACGACACACUAAAGCCGAAUGCCUUCACAGCUGUUAUACGCACUCGAAGGUAAGAAGCCCAAUUACGAAAGUAGCUUUAUAAAACCUGAACCCACGAAAGCUAAGACACAAACUGGGAUUAGAUACCCCACUAUGCUUAGCCCUAAACAUCGACAACAUAACACACCUGUUGUCCGCCCGGGGACUACAAGCACUAGCUUAAAACCCAAAGGACUUGGCGGUGCUUUAGAUCCACCUAGAGGAGCCUGUUCUAGAACCGAUAAUCCCCGUUCAACCUCACCCCUUCUUGCUCAACCCGCCUAUAUACCGCCGUCGUCAGCUUACCCUGUGAAGGUCUAAUAGUAAGCAAAAUUGGCAUAGCCCAGAACGUCAGGUCGAGGUGUAGCGUAUGGAGGGGGAAGAAAUGGGCUACAUUCCCUAAUCUAGGGAACACGAAUAAUAUGCUGAAACGCAUACUUGAAGGAGGAUUUAGCAGUAAGCAUGAAAAGUAGAGUGUUCUGCUGAAACCGGCCCUGAAGCGCGCACACACCGCCCGUCACUCU